rnacentral:rRNA from 1 species
UUUCCGUAGGUGAACCUGCGGAAGGAUCAUUGUCGAAACCUGCCCUGCAGAACGACCGCGAACAUGUUGUACGUUUGGAGGAAAGCGGAUCCAUUUGGCUCCGUCCCUACUCCUCGCGUUGGUUAACGUCCCUUGUGGAUGAUGGCCAAUGCAUGUAACAAAUCCCAGCGCGGAAUGCGCCAAGGAAGAUGAAUUACUUGUGUGUCCAUUAGCUCCCGGUUUUGCCGGGAGUUGCAUGCGGCACCUGAUCAAGGAACACAAACGACUCUCGGCAACGGAUAUCUCGGCUCUUGCAUCGAUGAAGAACGUAGCGAAAUGCGAUACUUGGUGUGAAUUGCAGAAUCCCGUGAACCAUCGAGUCUUUGAACGCAAGUUGCGCCCGAUGCCACUAGGCUGAAGGCACGUCUGCCUGGGCGUCACACAAAGCAUCUCCCCAACCCUACUCCUUUGUGAGGUAGGGGAAGGAUGAUGACCUCCUGUGCCCCUAGUCGGGUGUUGUUGGUCUAAAUAGGGAGCCCUCGGUGAUGAGCUGCGGCAAUAGUUGGUUAACAAGGCCUCUGGCCGUGUUUCAUUUUGUUGUCCGAGCAAAUUGCUGAUUAGGGCUCGCACGACCCUGUACUUUUUAUGUUGCGACCCCAGGUCAGGCGGGAUUACCCGCUGAGUUUAA